UACGUAGGGUGCAAGCGUUGUCCGGAAUUAUUGGGCGUAAAGAGCUCGUAGGCGGUUCGGCAAGUCGGAUGUGAAAUCUCCACGCUUAACGUGGAGGGGCCAUUCGAAACUGCUGUGACUCGAGUCCGGUAGGGGAGUGUGGAAUUCCCGGUGAGCGGUGAAAUGCGCAGAUAUCAGGAGGAACACCGAUGGCGAAGGCAGGUCACUGGGCCGCGAACUGACGCUGAGGAGCGAAAGCAUGGGGAGCGAACAGG
rnacentral:rRNA from 1 species